AGCAAAAGCAGCCUCAGCAGCCAGGCAGGGCUGUAGCUUGCAGCCAAGCAGACCGCCGCCGCCUCAUCACCACACACAGACACACACACACACACACACACACACACACACACACACACACACACAUUGCACACACAUCCCGAAUCAACGCGUUCUCACACAAAUUCUGGACCACGACAGAUGAGAGAAGAGCAAUAGGCACGGACAACAGUGCUUUAACAAAUUAUUGAAAUUACAAACAUCAACAGCAGUUUCAUUUCGACAGAGUCCAUAUUCUGGAAGUCCAGGCUAUUUUAUCAUGAAACACACCUUGUAAAAUCUUUGAAGCAUUGAAUUCUGACCAAGAUCUGGAUAAAGAAGCCCUCAUCUGCUGUGUAAGAAUCUCAUCACCUACGCCAUGACAAACCAGGAAAAAUGGGCCCAUCUCAGCCCCUCAGAAUUUUCCCAACUUCAGAAAUAUGCUGAGUAUUCUACAAAGAAAUUAAAGGAUGUUCUUGAAGAAUUCCAUGGUAAUGGUGUGCUUGCAAAGUAUAAUCCUGAAGGGACCAUAGAUUUUGAAGGAUUCAAGCUGUUCAUGAAGUUGUGUGACAUACCUCAGGCCAGCACGCUUAGGGUGCAUAUUUCCCUGUAGUUUCCCAAUGCUCAGGUCUUUCAAAGGGGAUAAAUGAUAUGUUCCAAAUCCUUAGAGAUUUCUUUGUAUUGUAGUUUAACCUCCAAGUAUUUGUGUUUCUCACUUGUCCUUGGUGUAUUUAAACGUUUCACUACUUUCUCGUGCUCAUAUCUUAUUUAUAUUUUAUAUUCCAUUCAUUAGCUGAGCACCUUAUUUAUAGUUAGCUUUUCAAGGUAAAGCAAUUCCUUUAAAUCUUAAAAAAAUAAAGACAGUUCAUUAAAACACAGAUUUUUUUCACUCAAAUUAAAAAAAUUUACACCUCUA
rnacentral:lncRNA from 1 species